rnacentral:lncRNA from 1 species
CAUUCAGCACCACAAGCCCUAAGACACAUGGGUUACGCUCCUGCACCCUGCCUGCAGCUCUGGUCAAAAGUUUGAACAAUUUAAAGGAUGAGGAAGAAGAGUAAGAUUGCAACACAGAUGGGAUUGUGAUGGGAACUGAAAAACUCCACCUUAGCCCUUGGAAAUUGGAGCUGGGGCAGCCUGGUGAGAAUUGACUGCUUUCUCAGCUGUUUAUUUUUGCUUUCAAAUACUUUAAUUUUUGGGAGCGUGUGUAUGUCCGCAGCGCCAUUCGGAACCCCACGGUCCGCCCCGUGCCUGUGGCCGGCAUUCCGCGUCGUUCCACUCCUACUGAGAGGAAACUGCCUGUGCAUCGAGCAGAACCGAGUAGAGGAAACGGCUAAUAAAAGUAAAUACAGAAGGCUCUGUAAGUGCUUGCCAGCAUCCUUCCUAAUGACAUUUAAGCCUACUUUUGCGUAUUUAAUUUUUCAAUUUUUCAUUUAAUUAAUUGCAGAAUAAUUAGACUCGCAAUGGCAAUGAGAUUUCCAAGCUGCUGGGCGCCAUUUCAGACACUGAGCGCAGCCCCGCCGAGGGUUGCAUCGCGCUCUGUUCGGAAAGGCACGCGGCUAGCGGUUGCGAUCCACGGGACGCGCGUUCCCCCCCGUGCUCAGGCUGUUGUUCCCCGCUCACCCAAGGCUCGGCGGCGCGGCGCGGCCGCUGACUGCGCGCUCCGUGACGGCGGCGCCGGGAACUCCCGUAGGCGGGGGGAAGGGGCGGAGCAUGGCGCGCGCAGGGGAUUCCCCCGCCGCCCCGCGCGGAACGUUCGGGAUUGUUCCCGUGACGUCACCACACGGGAGCUCCCGCCAGCGGGGGCGGGGGCUGGGUCGCACACCUCGGCGGCGGCCAGGGAGCCCCGCCCCGGGCUCCCGCGGGGUCGCGCGGCGGCUCUCGCGAGGUUUGAUCGCGCGGAGCGUUGCUGCUCGGAGCGGCGCCAUUUUGGGAGCGAGGCGAGCGGCAGUUUGCGUUACGGAGAGCCCCAGGUGUCGGAGUCUUUUGCCUCAGCUGUUGGCGUUGGGGAGGAAGAGCGGUGGGAGCCGAUCUGCCGCAGCCGCUUCCUUUCAAAGCGGAGAAACGCCGGGCGCUGCUGGGGAUUGUUUGUCCGAGUGUUUCCUCCUGAACAGGCUUCAGAAACAGUCAGCGGACGGCGCAGAAACGACUGGGAAUUCUAAGUCUGAGCUUUCUCUUUCUGGAAGUGCAGAGGAUCUCACCCUCGGACACUUGUGUGGAUGGCAUGGAUAUACGGCUGAGUUUAUCAAGUUUGGAAUGCUUUUGCUGUCCAAAUAAAGUGCUUUUAGGUUUUCA